rnacentral:rRNA from 1 species
CCUACGGGUGGCUGCAGUGGGGAAUAUUGGACAAUGGGCGAAAGCCUGAUCCAGCCAUGCCGCGUGUGUGAAGAAGGCCUUCGGGUUGUAAAGCACUUUCAGUGGGGAAGAAAGCCUUGGGGCUAAUACCCUCGAGGAAGGACAUCACCCACAGAAGAAGCACCGGCUAACUCAGUGCCAGCAGCCGCGGUAGUACGGAGGGUGCGAGCGUUAAUCGGAAUUACUGGGCGUAAAGCGCGCGUAGGCGGUCUGAUAAGCCGGUUGUGAAAGCCCCGGGCUCAACCUGGGAACGGCAUCCGGAACUGUCAGGCUAGAGUGCAGGAGAGGAAGGUAGAAUUCCCGGUGUAGCGGUGAAAUGCGUAGAGAUCGGGAGGAAUACCAGUGGCGAAGGCGGCCUUCUGGACUGACACUGACGCUGAGGUGCGAAAGCGUGGGUAGCAAACAGGAUUAGAUACCCCAGUAGUC